GUCCACGCCGUAAACGAUGGGUACUUGGUGUUGGAGGUAUUGACCCCUUCAGUGCCGAAGCAAACGCGUUAAGUACCCCGCCUGGGGAGUACGGCCGCAAGGUUAAAACUCAAAGAAAUUGACGGGGGCCCGCACAAGCGGUGGAGCAUGUGGUUUAAUUCGAUGCAACGCGAAGAACCUUACCUGGGCUCGAAAUGUAACGGAAUUAAGCAGAGAUGUUUAAGCCUUCGGGCCGUUAUAUAGGUGCUGCAUGGCUGUCGU
rnacentral:rRNA from 1 species